rnacentral:rRNA from 1 species
GCUGGCGGCGUGCCUAACACAUGCAAGUCGAACGAGAAAAUGGGGUUCCGCGCAAGCGGAAUCGCAUGAGUAAAGUGGCGCACGGGUGAGUAACACGUGGCUAACCUACCUUCGAGUGGGGGAUAACCUGGGGAAACCUGGGCUAAUACCGUAUAACAUCCCAGCGGCACAAGUCACUGGGAUCAAAGGCCCGCAAGGGUCGCUGGAAGAGGGAGCUGCGGCCGAUUAGCUAGUUGGUAGGGUUGCGGCCUACCAAGGCGAUGAUCGGUAGCCGGCCUGAGAGGGCGCACGGCCACACUGGCACUGAAACACGGGCCAGACUCCUACGGGAGGCAGCAGUGGGGAAUUUUGCACAAUGCCCGAAAGGGUGAUGCAGCAACGCCGCGUGAGGGAUGAAGGCCUUCGGGUCGUAAACCUCUUUCGACCGGGAAAAAAGGACCUGCGAAGAGCGGGUUCUGAUGGUACCGGUGGAAGAAGCCCCGGCCAACUACGUGCCGGCAGCCGCGGUAAUACGUAGGGGGCGAGCGUUGUUCGGAAUUACUGGGCGUAAAGGGCGUGUAGGCGGUGCGGUAAGUCGGGCGUGAAAUCCCCGGGCCUAACUCGGGGCGGUCGU